CGCGGUAUUUUGACUGUGCGAAGGUAGCAUAAUCAUUUGUCUUUUAAUUGAAGACUUGUAUGAAUGGUUGAACGAGAAAAUAACUGUCUCUUUAAAAAAUCUUGAAUUUUACUUUUAAGUGAAAAGGCUUAAAUAAUUUUAAGGGACGAUAAGACCCUAUAAAUCUUUAUAUUAUUUUUCUUUAAAUUUCAAAUUAUAUGUUAAAAGAAAUAAAAGAAAAAAAUAUUAUAUUGGGGAGAUAAAAAUAUAAUUUUUAACUGUUUUAAAAAUAAAACAAUAAUUUUUGAUUAAAAAAAAAUUGAUCCUUUUUAAAGAUUUAAAGAUUAAGUUACUUUAGGGAUAACAGCGUAAUUUUUUUUGAGAGUUCUUAUCGAAAUAAAAGUUUGCGACCUCGAUGUUGAAUUAAAAUAUCCUUAUAAGUGCAGAAGCUAUAAAGGAAAGUCUGUUCGACUUUUAAAAUUUUACAU
rnacentral:rRNA from 1 species